GGUAUCAGAUAGUCGGGGAACUCGACUAUUGCGUUCUCUCUUGUUUGCUAAUUGAAUUCAUGGCAAUUGGGUUAUAUUUAUUUGAAAUCACCGCGAGAGUUCUUUUAAAUAUUCCAUGUUAUGAAAAAUUAACAACAGAAAUAAUUGGUAGAGGCCAAAUCAUAACCGGCUAUAUAUUUGCAAUUAUUAUUUAUAAUUGCUUCUUUACUCGCCAAAUAUUAUUAAUAUUGCCAUAAUUAUUAACACGAGCUCAAAACGUGUAGAGUAAGAGUAAACAAUUUGAAUGUGUUUCUAUAUCAACUAGGCAAGCCAUGAGUUCUAACUCAAAUAUUGACAAUGAAGUUAUAAAGUUUGUUUAUUAAAAAAAAUUGCAUUAUGAUAACGCAAGUGUCAUGCCAAAUGAAUAUUUUUGUGUAAAUAAACGCAUUUUAGGUUUGUGUGUUAUUAAAAAUGUGGGCUUCUUUAAUGUUUCGACAGUUCCCUGCAUUUCCCGAAUAAUCGGAUAUAUGCUAUAGCACCACAGUUUUUUUAGCUUACACAUUAGCUGCAACUAUGUGAGUGUCAAAGGGUGUAAAAACAAAGCAAAUAGGGUGGGCGGUGUGGGCGGAGAUCAAUAACAUGUAAUAGCACGUAACAAAGUCAGCGCUCGCCACGCGCGCUAUGUAAAAUCAGGCAAAAAAAAAAUAAAGCGAACAAGAACAAUAAAUCGAUUCGCCUUCAAAAUGCGGGAGAAAAAAUAAAAAUAUAAAGGACGAGGAGGAAAUAUGGAAGGGGUUUUUUGGGGUCGACUGCCACGGCAAUAAAGCCAGAAAUCACGCUGUGUGCAUGCAAAUCCCAAAAAGAUUUCCACACGACCCCAAAAAAAUGUACCGUGGAAAAAUUCGUUUUUUUGCCACGAGCAGAAACAAACAAAAGGAAACAAGUUAACUAAGACAAGGAAGAGACAGGAGGAAAAUCUCUUCAAAAUCUGGGUGUGUGCGACGAUAAAUUCAUAUAAACCGCGUUAAUUUAACCGCAGGCGCAGUUUAAACAACUCAAAUGGCUGGAAAAGCUGCUCCCCUGCUAUUCCGACUGGACCCGCACCUAAGCUUGAUAAAAUGUCGCCGCAAAGCUCAAGACAAAUAACAUCCAGCAAGCCAGUCAGCCAUCCAGCGACCUUCCCCCAAAGUUUUCCACCACGGAAAGGUUGCCAGGAGUGCGGAAAAAACGAUUGGAAUCUAGAGAAAUUACGUUCUGAAAUGUUUGCCACAAUUUGUUGUGCUCCAUAAUGAGUUGCUUUGUAUGCAAGGACAGACCUCCACCGUCUGAGCCUCAAAUGGAUAGAGUUCUGGGUGGCGCUUGGGCGGCCAAAAGGCCGUUUAAAGUUAUCCGCUCGGAUUCGCAUUUUAAUGCUUUUGCCUCAAUAAUCCGGUCAAGUGUCGGCUAGCGAUUUUAAUUGUUUGCAAUUAUUUCACCGAUUAAUUGCGUUUAAUUGGGCUACCAGCAAUUGCCUGCUAAUGCUAGGCGAUCAUUCAUAGAUUUGUAACGCUUUCAAAUGUUCACACCUCGGCAGUCAGUUGACUGCACUUCUGUAAUUUGAUACCUUUAAGGUAGUCACAUUCUUAUAAAGUAUGUAUAUAUUAAGAACGUUACGGCUUAAUUUAUUUAUAAAUCAGUGUGUAGUUUUUUUGAGCCAAAAAUAAAGCUUUAGUAAAAAUGUGGUUACUCUCAUGCCCUAAAUUACUAUUCACAAAAAGGGAAUUAUUUAUUAUUGGUGGGGCACGAAAUUAAAGCCAGACUUUUGGAGGCCAAGCUGGCAAUCAGGCCGAAAGUCCCGACUUGGCCUCAACUUUCCUUUGAUGGCUCAUUUGAAGCUGCGAGAGCCAAGGGAUUAUUAUGUCCUUGCUCAUUUAAGUUUGCCUUUAAAAGUUUUCCUCCAUUCGCUGCUAAAAAAGUUGAAUAUAAACUUUGCUAAGGCUUCGCUGGCGCGGCCUUUUCCCUCAUUAUAACCGAUUCUCGUAGAAUAAGGGGUACAUAAGGUUGGUUCGAAAGUGUAAUGUAACAGCGUUUUAAUAUAUAUUCUUGAUCAGGAAAAGCCGACUCCAUCUAUCCCUGGCGUUCUGCCUCUCUAUGCCAGCAAUAAACCCCUAUAACCCCAAAAUCUCUUAAAAGACACUUGCUUAAACUUGUCUCUAGAAGUAGUUAUGAGGCUUAGGCUUACUUACCAACAUACAUCACUCUUCACUGAGCUCAGAACAUUUAUUUUAAAGUUACUUAAUGCGACGCCCGCUAGGUGGACCCUUUGUACUUGGUACUUCUUUUAGAUGAGUAACAGGUAUCUGAAAGUCUAAAGUUUCUUUUCUUUUUUUCUCACAUAUCUUUUUAAGGCGCGACCCAACAACCCUGAAAAAAAGGGUGGAAAAGAAGUCCCCCGGCGACAUAAACGUUAAUUGUUGUUGGUCAUGACAUAAAAACCACCAUAAGAAUGGCCAGCACAGCCAAAUGACAUUGCUAGCAAAACACAAUUUUCGCUAUGAAUAAAGUGGGUUGGAAUGGGAAACAACUCAGGCAGGCUUUUGCUAAUGAACUAGCAAGGAUAUGCGGCGAAUUGAACGUCAACUGAAAUCAAGAAGAGAGAAAAGGAUUGGGCCACGUUUCUGCAGAAGGCCUAAUCAAAGCGACAACUGAAAUCCGCAACAAAACACACUCACAAACUUCCAAAUACCCAUAUGUAUGUGCAUGUACAUAUGUAUGUAUAAAUAACAAGGUCAAAUGGUAGAAAAUGCGACCGAAAUAUUUACGGCUGAAUGAACUGCUCCUUUUAGUUGGCCAGAAUUCGUAACCGACUCAAAUUUAAAAUCCAAUCAAGGGAAAGUAAUGCUCACUUUAUUGAACUCAAAAAUGAUAACUCAGAACUUGCUUAAAUGAAAAGUCGUUGGUGGAACCGAUUUUAAAUUUACUUUUACGAAAUUUCUAUUGCGCAAACUUUCCUUAAUUUAUUUAUUUUGCAGCAGAUUUUUUCUACAUUGUUGAGUUUAAUUAAAGUUUUUGCAUUAGCACAACAUUUUCAGUGGCUUGAAUAUUUUUGUAUGGCUGCUUUGUAUUAUUUUUAUUUGGCUAAAUAUUUUAAAAACCAUCAUAAAAAUAAAUGUCAUCUGUUAUAAAAAAACCAAACAUUUUAGCUUCUCAUGAGUUGACAUUUUCGAAAUGACAUCCCGAAAAUAAGUACCACAUGUCAUAUUAAACCGAAAAAAAGCGGAUCCAGUGAAGCUUAGACUAAAACAAAACCGAAUCAAUGACAAAAGUGAAAAGCAGGUGAGGAAGGGAGCCAGGGGCCAUGGGCCAUAGGGAAGAUUAGCCACAUUGUUGUGCAAUGGCCAUCAAAAUGCGACCAGGAACACAGGAGAUGAUGGCGUCAGUUUCCUUUUAGUCCUUGUUCACCUGUGGCUUUCACCUUUCUCCUCGCAAUAUUUAAUGCGAUUUAAUGCAUGUAUUAGAAGAGUGACUGCCAUGACUUAUAACAUCAACUUCGAAUGAGAAGACGUUUCUUUCUUUAGGUGUUUCCAUUCCUAUCAUAUAAAUCCAAUUGUUGCAGCGUUAUUUUAAAUCAAUAAGCAAUUUAUAAGAAUACUUUACGAUAAGGAAACCGCAAAAAAAUUGAGACGAGAUAAGAAAUUAUCGGGCAUCUGUUUUGGAUCUAAGUAUGAUUGAGAAAUAUUCACAAUUAAUUAUAGAAGUAAUAUUGUUAAAAGCACGACAGAUUUAAUAAAAUUUAAUAAUUUUUGAACUUUAAUAUCAACGUGCUGCCUUUAUUGGAUAUAAUUCGAUUUAAACAUUCUGUUUAUAGUGAAAUUUAUUCAAUGGAUCUCAUACAAAUCUGCGAACUGGAGGAUGAGCUCGACUGACAAAACACUCCCAUGACGAUGGGUGGAGCGAAUGAAAUUUAAAACCGAGACGCCUUUUUAAUGCAUGUGUACUGUGCACGUCUUCCUUAGUGGAAUUAAAUUAAUGACAAACAA